GGACAAAAUCAUGAUAGCAGAAAUUGCCCUCUAAAGUUGUCAAGUGAUUCAAUGGAACAAGAUAACAUUGAUGAAGCCACGGAUGAUUUAGAAGAUUCAUUUGAGGAAGAUGAAGUUCUCACUAUU